rnacentral:rRNA from 1 species
UUCGCAAUGCCCGAAAGGGUGACGAAGCGACGCCGCGUGUGGGAAGAAGGCCUUUGGGUUGUAAACCACUGUCGGGAGUUAAGAAAUGCAAGGAUAUUAAUAGUGUCUUUGUUUGACUAAGGCUCCGGAGGAAGCCACGGCUAACUCUGUGCCAGCAGCCGCGGUAAUACAGAGGCGGCAAGCGUUGUUCGGAAUUAUUGGGCGUAAAGAGCACGUAGGCGGCUAUGUAAGUCGGUUGUGAAAGCCUUCCGCUCAACGGAAGAACAGCAUUCGAUACUACAUGGCUUGAGUGCGAGAGGGGAGAGUGGAACUUCUGGUGGAGCGGUGAAAUGCGUAGAUAUCAGAAGGAACGCCGGCGGCGAAAGCGGCUCUCUGGCCCAUAACUGACGCUGAGUGUGCGAAAGCUAGGGGAGCAAACGGGAUUAGAUACCCCGGUAGCCCUAGCCGUAAACGAUGGGCACUAAGUAGAGGGGUUUU